rnacentral:lncRNA from 1 species
UUUGAUUCUUCAUCGGUGAUCAUUUCAGCCGCAUUAACCGUGGACAAAUAUUUUUGCCUUAUCCUGAAAUAGAAUUUAAUAAAAAAUUUCUAAGGCAAUAAGGCUGGUGACAAAACAAGGAAUGACGUAUAAAAAUCGAUAGCUUUUCUUGAUCUUCUCACUUUCACGCGAAAAAGCUGAAAAAUUCGGAAUUUGUAAUUCACGUUACGUACACAAUGGCGCUGGAAACAUAUUUAUGAAAGGAACUUUAAAAUGAUCUUGUAUACAUAAAUUUUUUAAAUAUUUCUUACGGUGAUGACAAAUUUCAUUAAAAAAAGCGACCUUGAAAAUGGUCUUAUAAAUAAGUUUAAGUUUAAAUUUGUUUAUUACUCU